ACAAUGUGGUGUAUAUAAACAUCUAUUGUAGCUUGUAUAUCAUUGUGUGAAUGAGAUUGAGAAUAAUAAAAUAAUAGAGAUUUGUUCAUUCUCUCUGCUUUAGCUUUUGCUUCAAAUCUUGUUUCCCAUGCCAGGUUUAAACACAUUGAUGUAGAUUGCCAUUUUAUCAAAGAGAAAGUGGCCGCUAAGAAAAUUGUUCUCACACACAUUCCUACAUCUGAUCAAGUUGCUGAUAUAUUCACCAAACGAUUGUCCACGUCCAGGUUUCAUUUUCUUAAAGACAAGCUAACGGUGCAACCCUCCCCCAUUAGCUUGCGGGGAGAUGUUAGGGAAUCCAAGUCUCAGCAGCAGAGGAUUAUUCCUAAUAGCUUGGAGGGGCAUUAGUAGCUCCUAGAUCAGAACUGUCUUAGCAUAAACAAUGUGUAACUACAACUUAGUAGUAACAGAAUCAGUUAGAGUUCGCGUACAGCGGGUUAAGUGAAGUGGUUAGGAGUAUUAACAGUGUGGCGUAUAUAAAAACAUGUAUUGUAGCUUGGAAUAGUAUAUGACUGCGAUGAGAAUAAGAAAAUAAUAGAGAUGUCUUCACUAUCUAAUUAAGUUAACUUAUAUUUUUUAAUUUGUGCCUUAAAAUUAUAAAGUCAUUUCAGACACCCGUUUUGUGUAUGAUCUGCAGGCAUGAGUGCAUGUGGGGCUUCAAAAAAAUUCAGGCAUAUCAGUUACAUGAUCCAGUUCAAACACCAAUUGACGAAAACUACAAACAGGCAACUGAUCCACGAUGUCUAUAGCACAAUGAACCACUUUGAAAAAUUCAAUUGGAGGGAAUGCUUACCACGAGCAUAGUAUGCAAGCAUGUAAAUUGUGUACAACCAGCGAUUUUUGUAAGCCAGCAUCAAGGAAGAAUUUCUCACCUGAUCCUUUGUUAAGGUAAAGAGUAAACAGUUCAGAGGAGUGUGUUAGGAAAGUAAGAGGGUCGAUAUUUUUGCAAGAAUCUUAAGAAAUCAUCCGAAAAUGAAAUUAACAUAUGUAAAAUCAUCUCAUAAUCAUAUUAGAAAGAUGGCAUUUAAUUGUAUUCAAUUUUAUUGCUUACCCUGAACUAUAAAGUUUAAGAGAGGGUAGUGGUUGGAUAAAGUAGUGUUGUUGAGAUCUUCCGCCUAUUAGCAUCUUUUAGCCGGUUGAAGAUGAAAAAUAUCCUUGGCCUUGCCAGGUUGGAAAAACAACGAAUUCUAAUCCAAAAGAAAAACUAGAAUCGUGUUUUGAAACUCAAGAAACUAUUUUCCAUGCAUUUGGAUGAAAAUGGAUUUUAGUAUUAGCGUACCUUAUCUUAUCCUAGGAAAGCAUUUCAAACAUAUAAAAAUGGUGAAACUGAUGCAUUACCAAGUUGACUACGUUACUCGUAUUUGUAGGUAUAGAAAUUGUAUUUACUACAUUGAAUAAUAGAACCUAAAUGAAUAAACUACUAAAUCUUUCAUGACUUGAAAAACUACAAAAGAGGACCCGGUUAGGGUGCCUCGUCACUGUCGGCGUCUCUCUGUCAAAUCAGUUAAUUAUAGCCUACAGAAUAGAGAGAGAAAAAAAAAAUAUAACGGACGAUUUCAUACCGUAAGGUUUGGGAUCUCUAUAUAAAGAGCGCCUUGCCUUACUUAGGGCCAGGAUUCACAGUCUCUUCAAUUAGGUCCGAUGGUAAAAUUCGUGUGCAAAAUAAGAACGUGAUUAAAGGCAGUGUUCCUAGGACACAAAUACGAAGUAAUGUAGUUCAAAGUAGUUAAAAAAUAACUUUAAGGCAACCACAUAUUGCAAAAAUAAAAUAGAAAAUUUUAUACAAUACUUUAUACUUAACUCUUGGUGGUGUACAUCAUUAUACACGAGGGCUUUACAUAGGGCAAGGCAUCCCAUUUAGUAAAUCCAUCCAAUCUAUCGAUGGUUAUCUAACAAUAUUCUGUCCAAAAACAAGAAAGUUAAUAAAGGCAAUGUUUCUCAUAUAAAAAACUAAGUAAUAUAGUUAAAAAGUAGUCAACUACUAUAAUAGAGAUAACAAAAGUAGUUUUGUGAUUUACCUUAGUAAUGUGAUGAUCUAGACGACUGGAAGGACUAGUUAUCCGAAACCUGAAAAACAAACCCCAAGUAAUGUCUCGCGGGCUGCCGAGGCCACUCUAAUGCGCAAGUUAGCGAUAAGAACCCUCAAGAAGAUAAAUAUACAGAAAAAUUAAUGUCCAUUGUCCAUACUAUAGGUAGUGGAAGAGUUUGAAAUUUAAAGUUGAGAGUUUUUUACUUGGGCCCGAGGAUCCUUAUUAGGGUGGGUCCACAUUCUAAUCAAGUCCGGUAAGUCAAGUCAAUCGUGUGGUACUCGCAAACCAGAAAUACAAGAAAAUCAAAGCACUUAUAUAAAAAUAUAAAGAAAAAUCAAAGUACUAGCAACAUACUCCGUACUCCAUCGUAUUGUGUAGGUCUAUUAAUUGUACCUACGUUAGUUGAUUGUAGAGCCCUAAACAAUAAACUACCG
rnacentral:lncRNA from 1 species